rnacentral:rRNA from 1 species
CAUGCAAGUCGAACGAGAGAAGAGAAGCUUGCUUUUCUGAUCUAGUGGCGGACGGGUGAGUAACACGUGAGCAAUCUGCCUUUCAGAGGGGGAUACCGAUUGGAAACGAUCGUUAAUACCGCAUAAUAUAAUUGAACCGCAUGAUUUGAUUAUCAAAGAUUUAUCGCUGAAAGAUGAGCUCGCGUCUGAUUAGCUAGUUGGUAAGGUAACGGCUUACCAAGGCGACGAUCAGUAGCCGGACUGAGAGGUUGAUCGGCCACAUUGGGACUGAGACACGGCCCAGACUCCUACGGGAGGCAGCAGUGGGGAAUAUUGCACAAUGGAGGAAACUCUGAUGCAGCGAUGCCGCGUGAGGGAAGAAGGUUUUAGGAUUGUAAACCUCUGUCUUCAGGGACGAAAAA